ensembl:lncRNA
GUGGGGACAAUGGGGAUGAUGGACAUAGGGACGAUGGGGACAAUGGACGUGGGGAUGAGGUGAUGGGGACGAUGGACGUGGGGACGGUGGGGAUAAUGGACGUGGGGAUGGUGGGGUUGAUGGAUGUGGGGAUGACGGUGACAGUGGAUGUGGGGAUGAGGUGAUGGGGACGAUGGACGUGGGGUUGGUGGGAACAACGUAGGUGGAGGUGAUGGAGAUAGAGAUGAGGAUGAGGAUGAAGGGGAUGGAGAUGAUGAGGAUGGUGGGGUGGAGAUGAGAUGAGGAUGAUGUGGAUGAUGGGGAUGGAGAUGAUGAAGAUGAGGAUGGCGGGGAUGGAGAUGAUGAGGAUGAUGAGUCUGAUGGGGAGGGAAAUGAUGGAGAUGGGGACAAUAGGGAUGGAGAUGAAGAUGAUGAUGAGGACAGUGGGGUUGGAGGUGAUUAAGAUGAUGGGGAGGGGGAUGGAGGUGAUGAAGUUGAUGAAAACGAUGGGGAUGGAGAUGAUGGAGAUUAUGAGGAUGGAGAUGAAGAUGGUGAGGAUGAUGGGGAGGGGGAUGGAGGUGAUGGAGAUGAUGAAAACAGUGGGGCUGGAAAUGAUGGAGAUGGGGACAAGGGGGAUGGAGAUGAUGGAGAUGAUGGAGGGGGGAUAGAGAUGAGAUAAAGAUGAUGUGGGCAGUAGGGAUGGAGAUGAUGAUGAGGUCAGUGGGGAUGGAGAUGAUGAAGAUGGGGACAAGUGGGGGCAAUGGAGGUGGAGGUGAUGACGAUGGGGACAACGGGGAUGGAGAUGAUGGAGAUGAUGAGAAUGGAGAUGAUGAUGGGGAUGGAGAUGAUGAGGACAGUGAGGGCAGUGGAGGUGGAGGUGAUGAAGAUGAUGAGGACAACGGGGAUGGAAAUGAUGGAGAUGGGGACCAUGGGGGUGGAGGUGAUGAGGAUGACGGGGAGGGGAUGGAGAUGACGGAGGUUGAUGAGAAUGGAGGUGAUGAUGAGGACGAUGGGGAUGGAGGUGAUGAAGAUGGGGACCAUGGGGGUGGUGGAGGUGGAGGUGAUGAGGACGAUGGGGACAGUGGGGAUGGGCAUGGAGAUAACGAAGACGAUGAGGACGAUGAUGAGGACAGUGAUGAGGAUGGAGAUAACAAAGAUGACGAGGAUGAUGAUGGGGACAGUGGGGGUGGGGAUGGAGAUAACGAUGAUGAGGACGAUGAUGGGGAUGGCUGGGAUGGAGAUAACGAAGACAGUGAGGAUGAUGAUGGGGACAGCGGGAUGGAGAUAACGGAGACGAUGAGGACUGGGGAUGGAGAUAACGAAGAUGAUGAGGACGAUGAUGGGGACAGUGAUGGGGAUGGAGAUAACGAAGACAAUGAGGAUGAUGAUGAGGACAUUGGGGGUGGGGAUGGAGAUAACGACGGUGAGGAUGAUGAUGGGGACAGUGGGGACGGAGAUAACGAAGACGACGAGGACGAUGAUGGGGACAGCGGGGGUGGGGAUGGAGAUAACGACGAUGAGGACGAUGAUGGGGACAGUGGGGAUGGAGAUAAUGACGAUGAUGAGGAUGGUGAUGGGGACAGUGAUGGGGAUGGAGAUAACGAAGACGACGAGGACGAUGAUGGGGACAUUGGGGGUGGGGAUGGAGAUAACGAAGACGAGGAUGAUGAUGGGUACAGUGGGGAUGGAGAUAACGGAGAUGAUGAGGACGAUGAUGGGGACAACAGGGAUGGAGAUAAUGAAGGUGAUGAGGAUGAGGAUAGGGACAGCUGGGAUGGAGAUAACGAAGACGAGGAUGAUGAUGGAGGAUGAUGAUGGAGACAGUAGGGAUGGAGAUAAUGAAGACGACGAGGAUGAUGAUGGGGACAGUGGGGGUGGGGAUGGAGAUAAUGAUGAUGAGGAUGAUGAUGGGGACAGCUGGGAUGGAGAUAACAAAGACAAUGAAGAUGAUGAUGAGGACAGCUGGGAUUGAGAUAAUGAAGACGAUGAGGACGAUGAUGGGGACAGCAGGGAUGGAGAUAACAGAGACGAUGAGGAUGAUGAUGGGGACAGUGAUGGGGAUGGAGAUAACGAAGACAAUGAGGAUGAUGAUGUGGACAUUGGGGGUGGGGAUGGAGAUAACGACGGUGAGGAUGAUGAUGGGGACAUUGGGGAUGGAGAUAACGGAGAUGAGGACGAUGAAGGGGACAGUGGGGAUGGAGAUAAUGGAGAUGAUGAGGACAGUGAUGGGGACAGCGGGGGUGGGGAUGGAGAUAACGACGAUGAUGAUGAGGACAGUGGGGAUGAAGAUAACAGAGACGACAAGGAUGAUGAUGGGGACAGCGGGGAUGGAGAUAACGAAGACGACGAGGACGAUGGGACAGUGGGGGUGGGGAUGGAGAUGUGAAGGCAGCGCUGCGAGCCCUGGCCCCACAUGACCCCCCCCGCCCUCUCCCCCGUUUCCAUGCCCACAGAUCGAGGAGAUCGAGCGCGAGAUCAUCAAGCAGGAGGAGAACGUCGACCCCGACUACUGGGAGAAGCUGCUGCGGCACCACUACGAGCAGCAGCAGGAGGACCUGGCACGAAACCUGGGCAAGGGCAAGCGCGUCCGCAAGCAGGUCAACUACAACGACGCGGCCCAGGAGGACCAAGGUGGGCACUGGGAGGGACUGGGGGGCACCGGGAAGGGAAUGGGAGGGCACUGGGGGCCGCUGGGAGGGACUGGGGGGGAUUGGGAGGGACUGGGAAGGACUGGGAGGUACUGGGAAGGACUGGGAGGGCACUGGAGACCACUGGGAGGGAUUGGGAGGGGAUUGGGAGGGCACUGGGAGGC